rnacentral:rRNA from 1 species
AUGGAGGAGCAAUAUCACGACGGGCUGCGACAGCAUGAGGCGGCAGCAGAGUCGUCAGUGCCGUUGCUGGAGAAGAAGGCCGGCGGCGUGUUGUACGUGGAGGGGUGCCCCGGGUGCGCGAUUGACCGGAGGAAGGCCGAGAACCCGGGCAUCCCCUACAGCAGCUUCCUGUACGUAUGGGUCAUCACCCUAAGCACCGCUUUACCAAUAUCUUCACUGUUCCCCUACUUGUACUUCAUGAUAAGAGACUUGCAUGUUGCAAAAAGAACAGAAGACAUUGGGUUCUAUGCUGGGUUUGUAGGCGCUUCUUUUAUGUUCGGAAGAUUUUUGACUGCAACUAUUUGGGGAAUAGCAGCAGACCGUAUUGGCAGAAAACCAGUUAUUCUGUUCAGCGUUUUCUCCGUGGUAGUAUUUAAUACUUUGUUUGGGCUUAGUGUCACCUAUUGGAUGGCGAUAGCUACAAGGUUUCUCAUGGGUGCUUUGAAUGGCUUACUCGGACCCAUAAAGGCUUAUUCUAUUGAAGUUUGCCGACCCGAACAUGAAGCUCUAGCACUAUCACUUGUUAGCACAUCAUGGGCAAUAGGUCUCAUCAUUGGUCCUGCUCUUGGAGGCUACCUUGCACUGCCUGCAGAAAAAUAUCCAAAUAUCUUUUCGCCUGACUCACUCUUUGGAAGGUUCCCGUACUUCUUACCAUGCUUAUGCACAUCAGUCUUUGCUGCCGUUGUUCUGACAGGCUGUCUAUGGAUGCCGGAAACCUUAUAUUGUCGGCAUGAACACAGAUAUUCUAUAUUUAUAAGUCUUGAUGAAACAUUACACAAGCAUAAGGCCAGUGAAAAUGGCAAACAAAGUGUUGAUGCUUUGGAGGCCCAUCUGAUUGAUCCGCAAGAAAAGGUCGAAGAAAGUGACAGUGUAGAUACCAAGAAGAGCUUAUUCAAGAAUUGGCCAUUGAUGUCUUCCAUAAUUGUUUAUUGUAUCUUCUCCUAUCAUGACAUGGCUUAUACAGAGGUGUUCUCUCUAUGGGCUGAAAGUGACAAGAAGUAUGGUGGACUAGGUUUAUGGUCCCAAGAUGUGGGCCAAACGCUCGGAAUAACAGGUGGCAGUUUGCUUGUGUAUCAAAUGUUCAUAUACCCACGCAUCAAUAAAGUUCUUGGACCGAUCAAAUGUUGUCAAAUCGCAGCCGCUCUGUGCAUACCUAUUCUAUUCACCUAUCCCUAUAUGACAUACCUCUCAGGAGCUGCAUUAUCAAUCAUUCUGACUAUUGCAUCAGUCUUAAAAAAUAAUAUUUCUGCUACCAUCAUUACAAGCAUCUUCAUCCUUCAAAACAACGCUGUGUCUCAGGACCAAAGAGGAGCAGCCAAUGGAUUAGCCAUGACUGCAAUGUCCCUUUUCAAGGCAGUUGCUCCUGCAGGCGCCGGCAUUGUGUUCUCAUGGGUGCAGAAACGCCAACAUACUUUCAUCCUUCCAGGUGAUCAUAUGGUGUUCUUUCUGCUGAACAUGAUAGAGCUCCUUGGACUUGUCCUCACGUUCAAACCCUUCCUCGCCGUGCCAGAGCAGUAUGAUAGAAACUAG